rnacentral:rRNA from 1 species
UACGGAGGGUGCAAGCGUUGCUCGGAAUUAUUGGGCGUAAAGGGUAGGUAGGUGGUCUCGUUUGUCUGGGGUGAAAGCCUUGAGCUUAACUCAAGAAGUGCCUUAGAAACGGCGAGACUAGAGUCUUGGAGAGGGUCGUGGAAUUCCUGGUGUAGCGGUGAAAUGCGUAGAGAUCAGGAGGAACACCCAUGGCGAAGGCAGCUCUCUGGUUGACCUCUGACGCUGAGACGCGAAAGCGUGGGGAGCGAACGGG